UACAGAGGUGGGCAAGCGUUGUUCGGAAUUACUGGGCGUAAAGGGCGCGUAGGCGGCCUUCUAAGUCAGACGUGAAAUCCCCCGGGCUUAACCUGGGAACUGCGUCUGAUACUGGGAGGCUUGAGUAUGGGAGAGGGAUGUAGAAUUCCAGGUGUAGCGGUGAAAUGCGUAGAUAUCUGGAGGAAUACCGGUGGCGAAGGCGGCAUCCUGGACCAUAACUGACGCUGAGGCGCGAAAGCUAGGGGGGCAAACAGGG
rnacentral:rRNA from 1 species